rnacentral:piRNA from 1 species
ACCAACUGUGGCCAUAUCGUUGUCCGAC